rnacentral:rRNA from 1 species
UCAGAUUGAACGCUGGCGGCAUGGUUAAAGCAUGCAAGUCGAACGCGAAAGUAUUUCGGUACGAGUAGAGUGGCGGAAGGGCGAGGAAUAUAUUUCUAACGUGCCCCAAGGUAAGGGAUAGCAUCGGGAAACUGAUGGUAAUACCUUAUAACCCCGUAGGAUCGUAUGGUCCAGCGGGCAAAGGCUUGCUGCCUUGGGAUCGGGAAAUAUGCUAUCAGCUUGUUGGUAAGGUAAU